AGCGGAUGAUAAUGGAUCCGACCCGAAAUGACACGGUAAAACGACGACGACUAGGUAGACUUUCUUCUGUUAUGGGUUUACAUUUGAAAUGAGUGUUGCAGAAUUUUGUAACGGGUUUCGGAUUCAGAAUCCACAACCCAUGGAUAUCGCUGGAUUAAGAUCAGACGGUGGAAAAGCUUCAUGGAUCUCAGUGAGGCUCCGCUGUCUGAGCUCGGGCCAAGACAGGCAAAUCCUCUUAAACUUUCUUACGUGGCUUCCACUGCGGGCGAGUCUUUCUGAACCGCGAUCCGAAUGAGACAGCUGAACCGGACUCCACGGCCUCGGGUUACAGAACCGCGGUUCUUGUCCUUCUCGGUUGGAUUGGAGUGCGAAAGCUUGUUCUUUGGGCGGCGAUCUCCGGACUUGCCGGGAAGAACAGAAUAUCUCAUAUCUGGUUACAUCAUUUAACAGACGAAAAUGAGUGCAAUUCUUACGUCAAAAUGCUCUACAGUUGGCCGUUCAUUGAUGUGAAGCUUUGGCAACCAUUUCUUAGGAGUCAAAGAACCAAAUGCAAUAGUUUCACAGUUGAAUUACAAGAAUUUUUGGCACAGUAUAACUAUAUUGGUUCCCGGGUCCCUUGAAUUUGAGUGCCAUCAGUCUUUUGGACAUUCCCGGGAGACAUCUGCCCCAUCGUUAAGCAACAAAGAACAUUGGUACAGAUGAGGAUCAACCUCAUGGUGGUGGACAACUCUGGUGCAAAACAGGUCAUGUGUAUACAAGCUUUGAAAGGAAGGAGAGGGGCAAGAUUGGGUGACACCAUAACUGUAUCAGUGAAGGAAGCACAGCCUCGUGGUAAAGUGAAGAAGGGGGAUGCAGUGUAUGGCAUUGUGGUGUGUGCUGCCAUGUAGAGGGGGCAAUGUGGUGGCAGUGAGGUCAAGUUUGAUGAUAAUGCAGUGAUCCUUGUUAACAAGCAGGGAGAGCCAAUCAGUACCUGUGUCUUUGGGCCAGUGCCACAUGAAUUCGGGAAGAAAAAACACAUCAAGAUUUUAAAUUUAGCUGAACAUAUAGCCUGAGGCAUCUAUGGGGUGCUCUAGCGUCUGUCAGCUACAGGAGUUCAACCAUCAGACAGUCUAAAUAUGCAUCCUUUUGGGUGUUUGUGAUGAUUCAUCUCAGCCUAUUGACGGCAUUCGACAUGUUUAAUUGGAGGAAUUAUGAUGCACCUAUCUAUAUAUAUCUAGCAACAGAGAAGCUGCAGAAACAUAAAGGUAAAGACUGCUUAAGAAACUGAUUCUCUGCAGAACACUCUUGAAGAAUCUAUUGUGCAAUCUUUCAUUUUGGAAGUGUGUGUGAUCAAUAAUAUUGCUUUCAAGUGCUUCCGACAUAUCAAAGGCAAGACAGGUGCAUGUGAUUUGAUCAGCAUCUUCACACCCAAAGCAUGAAGAGACUUGCACGUCCCAGUUCUAAUUGCUGACUAAACAAUGCCAGUCCAGUUCUGUGCCCCAUUUAUUGAAGGAAACAAUGACUCUUCGAUGAGUUUUUGGAUGACCAAGAUUGUCCUAGGUAUGUUAUCUCAUCUCAUCUCAUCUCAUUCAAAUGUUCUAUCGAUCGGCUACCCGAUUAUUAGACUACCAA